rnacentral:rRNA from 1 species
UACGGAGGGUGCGAGCGUUGUCCGGAAUCAUUGGGCGUAAAGGGCGCGUAGGUGGCCCGGUCAGUCUUUGGUGAAAGCGCGGGGCUCAACCCUGCGUCGGCCAGGGAUACUGCCGCGGCUCGAGCACUGUAGAGGCAGGCGGAAUUCCGGGUGUAGCGGUGGAAUGCGUAGAGAUCCGGAAGAACACCCGUGGCGAAGGCGGCUCUCUGGUACGUGACUGACGCUGAGACGCGAAAGCGUGGGGAGCGAACAGG